GCCUGCCCAGUGACCAAGUUAAACGGCCGCGGUACCCUAACCGUGCAAAGGUAGCGCAAUCACUUGUUCUUUAAAUGAGGACUAGUAUGAACGGCAUCACGAGGGUUAUACUGUCUCCCCCCUCUAAUCAGUGAAACUGAUCUCCCCGUGAAGAAGCGGGGAUAAACUUAUAAGACGAGAAGACCCCAUGGAGCUUUAAACUCAGUAUCACCUGCCUCCUACCACAACCUAUUAAUUAUGCAGUUUUGGUUACUAGUUUUCGGUUGGGGUGACCGCGGAGUAAAACAAAACCUCCUCGAUGAACGGAACUAUCCUCCUUAUCCAAGAGUUACAACUCUAAGAAUCAAUAAAUUGACAAAAAUUGAUCCAAAUAAUUUUGAUCAACGAACCAAGUUACCCUGGGGAUAACAGCGCAAUCUACUUCAAGAGCUCCUAUCGACAAGUGGGUUUACGACCUCGAUGUUGGAUCAGGGUAUCCCAGUGGCGCAGCCGCUACUAAAGGUUCGUUUGUUCAACGAUUAAAACCCU
rnacentral:rRNA from 1 species